CCUACGGGGGGCUGCAGUGGGGAAUAUUGGACAAUGGGGGGAACCCUGAUCCAGCCAUGCCGCGUGUGUGAAGAAGGCCCUCGGGUUGUAAAGCACUUUCAGUGAGGAAGAACGCCUGGUGGUUAAUACCCAUCAGGAAAGACAUCACUCACAGAAGAAGCACCGGCUAACUCCGUGUCAGCAGCCGCGGUAAUACGGAGGGUGCGAGCGUGAAUCGGAAUUACUGGGCGUAAAGCGCGCGUAGGUGGCUUGAUAAGCCGGUUGUGAAAGCCCCGGGCUCAACCUGGGAACGGCAUCCGGAACUGUCAAGCUAGAGUGCAGGAGAGGAAGGUAGAAUUCCCGGUGUAGCGGUGAAAUGCGUAGAGAUCGGGAGGAAUACCAGUGGCGAAGGCGGCCUUCUGGACUGACACUGACACUGAGGUGCGAAAGCGUGGGUAGCAAACAGGAGUAGAUACCCCAGUAGUC
rnacentral:rRNA from 1 species